rnacentral:tRNA from 1 species
AGUCUUAUAGUUUAUUUAAUAAAAUGUUAAAUUGCAAAUUUAAAGAAAUAAUUUUAAGACUU